CUUGGGCUAGUUCAGCUUCCCGAAGCUGUUUCGUCAAAUUCUUUUUAAUAGAGUGAACACUAAUGGCAUUUGUAAUCGUUUCUAUUAAGCCACUAUUGUCGCCGGUCACUAAAAUUUUCAUCCUUCGAACCCAAACCUUUUCUUUACACUCUAGCCAAACACGCUGAAACGCGUAUAUAAGUUGACAGGCAAAUGUCUCUUGCCGGAGAUCCGCACCCGUUUUAACAAUCACACUGACCAAAUCCCAAUUGGGAUAAUGACCAUAAGGAGAAGACUUUCUUAUCCUUUCCUUCUUGGCAUACCAAUCUUCUUGGAAUGUAGCGGCACUGGGAUCAUCUCUAUCACCUUUCCGUUCUGCCUUUUGAGUUUCUUUGCCAAAUCGCAGAUCUUCUGCGCAUGAUAUGUCGACUGAAACAGGAUAAAUGGAUGGUUCAUUAAGGCGCUCUUCUUCGAGUCUUUGCAUGUCAAGAAUAAUGCUAUUUUUUAUUCGUUCAGUCUCAGCUUUGGGACGUCUGCUACCUUCAGCAUCAAGCUGACUUAGCAUAGUUGCCGCAGCUCGCAUUCUCGCUGUUAUUUCUGAAGCAUAGAUUUUACUUCUUUUUAAGGCGCCAUUUCCAUCAGAAUCAGAGUGGCGCCCAGAUAACAGGACGACAUCGGUAUCUCUAUGAGAGGACGGUACCUGCAAAGAUACAUUACCAAACGAAGAGAAUGACUUACUCAAAGAAAGAGUGUCCGGUACCAACCCUUUUAUCAGAGGAGACAUACUUAAAUCCCCUCCCUCACUUUCCGACUCUGAAAUAUCAUUGUCGGUACUGUCUUGAAGGUUCGUAUAAGGAUCGACAUCUGUGAGGUCAAACCACCUUUUUCUUUGGUUUUUAUGAGAGACAAUCUUUUGCACCUUAGCCUUAUUUUUCUUCGAUUGUGGCUCGAAGCUGAGUUCACCAGAUAGGACCUCAACCAUAAUAAGAUAAGGUACUCGUUCGGCAGAAUUGAGUAUGGUAGCCUCUUUAGGAUCAAUGCGAACGAUUUUAUGACUCACUUCUUUAUGAUAUGAUCGUAAAAGCGGUAUGUUCACAUCGGCUGGAAGGUUGUUAUUUAAAAGAGCAAGUUCGGCGCGUAAUGAAGAAAGGCGAGCUUGUCUAGGUACAAUGAUGAGACGGAUAGAUAUAUCUUGUAAAGCAAAAAGAAAUUGAAUUUCUUGUUGAAAAUAAUUAGAGCGUAGAACACGACGCUGUUCGUCAAUAGAUAAUGUAGCUGAUGAU